rnacentral:rRNA from 1 species
GACGAACGCUGGCGGCGUGCUUAACACAUGCAAGUCGAACGGAAAGGCCCUGCUGUUGUGGGAUGCUCGAGUGGCGAACGGGUGAGUAACACGUGAGUAACCUGCACUUGACUUUGGGAUAACUUCAGGAAACUGGGGCUGAUACCGGAUAGGAGCUCCUGCUGCAUGGUGGGGGUUGGAAAGUUUCGGCGGUUGGGGAUGGACUCGCGGCUCAUCAGUUUGGUGGGGGGGUGGUGGCUUACCAAGGCUGGGACGGGUGGCCGGCCUGGGAGGGUGACCGGCCACAUUGGGACUGAGGUACGGCCCAGACUCCUACGGGAGGCAGCAGUGGGGAAAAUUGCACAAUGGGCGGAAGCCUGAUGCAGCAACGCCGCGUGCGGGAUGACGGCCUUCGGGUUGUAAACCGCUUUCGCCUGUGACGAAGCGUGAGUGACGGUAAUGGGUAAAGAAGCACCGGCUAACUACGUG